rnacentral:rRNA from 1 species
AUUGAACGCUGGCGGCAGGCCUAACACAUGCAAGUCGAGCGGAAGGAGGGAGCUUGCUCCUGGAUUCAGCGGCGGACGGGUGAGUAAUGCCCAGGAAUCUGCCUGGUAGUGGGGGAUAACGUCCGGAAACGGGCGCUAAUAACGCAUACGACCUGAGGGAGAAAGUGGGGGAUCUUCGGACCGCACGCUCUCAGAUGAGCCUAGGUCGGGUUAUCGAGUUGGUGGGGUAGAGGCCUUCCGGGGGGACGAUCCGUAACUGGUCUGAGAGGGUGAUCAGUCACGAGGGGGUGACGAGCCGGACUGGACCCGAAGGAGGGCCCAGACUGGGAAUGUUGGACACUGUGGGAAAGACUGAUCCAGCCAUGCCGCGUGGGUGAAGAAGGGCUUCGGGUUGGAAAGCGCUUUACGUUGGGAGAAAGGGCAGUAACUUAAACGCUGCCUGUUUGAAGGUAACCAAUAGAAAAAGCACCGGUAAAUAUCUG